rnacentral:lncRNA from 1 species
AUUCACGGGGGCUUCCAUUUAAAAACUUGUAAAUCUUGGAGGGAACAACAUUGCAACCAUCACAGAAGGUGCAUUUACGGGGCUUUCCAAUUUAAAAUACUUAUAUCUGCAAUGGAACAACAUUGCAACCAUCAAAGAAGGAGCAUUCACGGGGCUUUCAAAUUUAAACGUAUUAUAUCUUGACAACAACAACAUUGCAACCAUCAAAGAAGGAGCAUUCAAGGGGCUUUCGAAUUUAAAAGAAUUGUAAGUUCUUCAG